CCCAAUAUUAAGCCUAACUCACCCAAAUGAAAAACACACCCUACUAAAUAUUAAUAAAACAUUUUACCAGUUUAGUAAAGGCGAUUAAAAGACUUUCUAGCGCUUUACCAACAGUACCGCAAGGGAAAAAUGAAAUAGUUUUGAAAUAGCCCACAAGCAAAACACAGCAGAGUUUACCCCUCGUACCUUUUGCAUCAUGGUUUAGCUAGUCCUUUUCAAGCGAAGUGAAACAUCAGUUUGACCCCCCGAAACUAAGCGAGCUACUUCAAGACAGCUCAAUGGAGCCAACCCGUCUCUGUCGCAAAAGAGUGGGAUGAUUUUCAAGUAGAGGUGAAAAGCCUACCGAGCUUAGAGAUAGCUGGUUAUUCAAGAAAAGAAUUUUAGUUCUACCUUAAGUUCCCUUAUUAAUUCUAUAAGCCACUUAAACUUAAGAGCUAUUCAAAUAAGGCACAGCUUAUUUGAAAAAGGAUACAACCUACAAAAAAGGGUAAAGACUUACUUACGUGAGAUAAGUGGGCCUAAAAGCAGCCACCUUCAAAAAAGCGUUAAAGCUUUCCUCACAAAACACUAUAAUACCUAAAAAUAUCUUAAACCCAUUAUCUCUAUUGAAUGAGUCUAUACAGUUAUAGAAGCCCCAAUGCUAAAACUAGUAACAAGAAAUUGACUUUCUCCAAAGUAUAAACAUAAGCCAAAGUGGACAAACCAUUGGUCGUCAACGUCUAUGAAUUCGUAUAGCAACUAUACCAGAAAACCCUAUUAAUCUUAACGUUAACCUUACACAAGCAUACUUCCGGAAAGAUUAAAAGAAAGGGAAGGAACUCGGCAAAUCAUAACCCCGCCUGUUUACCAAAAACAUCGCCUCUUGACAAACUAUAAGAGGUCCAGCCUGCCCAGUGAUCUAAUUAAACGGCCGCGGUACCCUGACCGUGCAAAGGUAGCAUAAUCACUUGUUCCCUAAAUAGGGACUCGUAUCAACGGCAUCACGAGGGUUAUACUGUCUCCCCUUUUUAAUCAGUGAAACUGACUUCCCCGUGAAGAGGCGGGGAUACUUAUACAAGACGAGAAGACCCCAUGGAGCUUUAAACCCAAUAGCAAUCUCCAUCAACUUACCUUAAAAAUAAGGGGACCCUGUAUAUUGGUUUUGGGUUGGGGUGACCACGGAGAAAAACUAAACCUCCACGACGAAAGGACCUUAAUCCUAAUCUAAGAGCCACUACUCUAAGAAUCACUAACCUGACAUAAUCUGAUCCGGCAACCGAUCAACGAACCAAGUUACCCUGGGGAUAACAGCGCAAUCCAUUUCAAGAGCCCCUAUCGACAAAUGGGUUUACGACCUCGAUGUUGGAUCAGGGUAUCCCAGUGGUGCAGCCGCUACUAAAGGUUUGUUUGUUCAACAAUUAAAAC
rnacentral:rRNA from 1 species